rnacentral:rRNA from 1 species
AUUGAACGCUGGCGGAAUGCUUUACACAUGCAAGUCGAGCGGCAGCGCGGCCUUCGGGCUGGCGGCGAGCGGCGAACGGGUGAGUAAUGCAUCGGAACAUGCCCAGUCGUGGGGGAUAACACUUCGAAAGAAGUGCUAAUACCGCAUACGUCCUGAGGGGGAAAGCGGGGGAUCGCAAGACCUCGCGCGAUUGGAGUGGCCGAUGUCAGAUUAGCUAGUUGGUGGGGUAAAGGCCUACCAAGGCGACGAUCUGUAGCUGGUCUGAGAGGAUGAUCAGCCACACUGGGACUGAGACACGGCCCAGACUCCUACGGGAGGCAGCAGUGGGGAAUUUUGGACAAUGGGGGCAACCCUGAUCCAGCCAUUCCGCGUGAGUGAAGAAGGCCUUCGGGUUGUAAAGCUCUUUCGGCAGGAACGAAACGGUGGGCUCUAACAUAGUCCGCUAAUGACGGUACCUGAAGAAGAAGCACCAGCUAACUACGUG